ACGAGUAAUAUGGAAAUGACCAACCAGUUGGGUAGAAUGGGGUGCCAGUGACCGAAGUAAAAUUGCCGUAUUUUUCUUGGUGCAUAAAGAAAAAAAGGAAUAAUAGUGAGACUUGGAGGGCCGAACUGCAAUUAGAGAUAAGCUAUUUAAAAAUAGCCAACCAAAGAUGGAGGACUAAUCUUGUCAAGUGGUUUAAAGUUGAAAUUAAUUCUCAACUCAUGAGAAAAAAGAAGCAGAUCCAUGAUUCGUUGACUAUGUAUAAUAUUUGGUGACUACCUUUUAGUCUAUGCAAGCCCACUUCAACUUUUUAUGUGAUUCGCUGCCAAGGCCCAGCUUGAAACAAUUUUGGUUGACAUAAAAUUAUGUAAGGCGGCUAUUAUUCGAGAGAGAGGGGAACGGGACGAACUUGGGACGCACGGAGUCGACAUCAGAGGGGAUUCGAAGACAAGAUCAGACGCACAAAGAACAUCAGUUUUGCAAGAAAUCAAGUUCGGGAAUCAUUAGGGUCAAGUGGGAAGCUUAGAGAUCAAGGAAUUUACGGAUGUCUCUGAUGAUGAGUCUUAUCCCACCGAACCGAUAUGGGAUUUGUCAGAUGAAGAGGAUGAGGAAAGUGAGAUGAGCUGUUUUGGGAGAGAGAAUCUGCGGAUGAGUUAGAGGGUUUGCCUGUAGAUAAAGAAGUAGGCACGUUUGAUCCGGAGGGUGACCUUGCAUACUUAGAAGCUUUACUUGCAGUAAACCCAAUGACGGACAUCAAUAAAAAAGAAGUGGUGGUGGAAAAGGAAGAACACCAUAGUUGGCCCGUGGUACUGAUAACGAAUGCGACUAAAAAAUCGAAACCACGGGAGAAGGCAAAGAAAAGAAAGAGAAAAGAUGGGAAACGGAAGAGGAUUGAAGGCUGGUACAAGAAGGAGCCGUUGGCGCACGAUCAAUAUUCGCUUUACAUGUCGCGCAUUUGGUUCCUUCCAGGUAAGUAUAAAUUUUGGUGGUCUGACCCGUUAAGAAUUUUCAAAAUAUUUUAUUAUUCCACCAGUAAAUUUUUAACUAUUUUUGAGAAACGGGUGGAAUUAAAUGGGUUAGACCAGGUUCAAGUCAAGGAAAAGCCUCCUGAUUAAGUUCAAGUGUGGGGAGGUUUUGUAGAGUUUGUAUAGAGUCGUAGUUUUUGAUAUUGAGUCUUAGUAGUUUUUGAGUCGUUUUUUUUUAGUCGGUACUGCUUUGGUUUUUGCUUGUUUUUGUUUAUGCAGGUUUGAUAUGUACCACCCGUACUCAAUCUCCAUUCGGGUGAUUUUGGAGCUGCUUAGCAGAUAUCAGGCAUUUACUGAGCAUAUCAGUUAGAGUCAAAGCCGAUCGCGACCGAAAUGCUAUACGAUCGAGCUGGAUUGGACAAGAGUUUUGGAGCAUACGCGUUAUAAAACCAGCUAAGUCCUUUCCAUUUAUGCCCUUAGUCUUUUUAUUUCUUAUUUAUUUUAGUCUUUUGAGUCGGUUUCCAUCCUACAUUGAGGGCAAUGUAGAGUAUAAGUGUGGGGAUGGUUAACUAUCGUUUAGUGUCUAGUUAGUAGAGUCUUGAGUCAUAAAACUAUCGUUUAGUGUCUAGUUAGUAGAGUCUUAAAAAGUCGAAAAAUACAAAAAAAUUAAAAAAUUUCAAAAAUUCAAAAAAAAAUUGAAAAAAUCAGAAAAUGUCUUUUGAAAUAAGAAGUUUGCAAAAAUAAAAACGGAAAAUGAUAGAAAAGUCGAGUUUUUGUUCGGGUUCAAAUAAUAAUAAUAUGAGAUUAAUAUAAUUGAGCUUGUGUCUAGUUUGGGAUGUGCGGGUAGGCUCGAUUCGGUUCUGGGUUCCUUUGAUCUUAAAAUUACCAAAUUGUUGGUCUACUAAUGGGUUCUCAUCUAGGAAAAGUGGGAAGUUGAAACCGCCAAAAAUAACAUAAGGGGCACCGUUAUAAGUUAGAGCCGUUAGAGUUUGUGGUUUUGAAAAAAAAAUAGAAUAAAAAGUGAGCUAGAAACUAAAUGAAAGUAGCCAUUCCUAUGUAGUCUGGGUUGGGGAUAGUGACUCUACAGCCGGAUUGCCUCUAGGGUGUGUGAAAUCGACCGUGCAAAAAAAAUAAUAAUAAUAAAAAUAAAAAGUAAAAAAUAAUAAAAAGUACCGAAACUAAGUAGUCUGUGGUUGGGGAUAGCGACUCUUCAGCCGGAUUGCCUCUUGUGUCGGGAAAGCACCGUCUAGACUCACGAAACAAAAAAAAAGAGAAAAAGAAAAAAAAUCUGAUUGUGAACUCUCUUGGCUUUGAUAUAAGGCGGUUGGGAAUUGGUCCAGUGAUCGUUCCUUUUGUCCUAUAAGUUUGAGGUGGGAGUAGAUGAGCUUGCAAUUUCUAGUGUGAGACCCUAGGUGGAUUGACCCAUACUUGAACUAAAUUGCAUGAUGAGGGCUUGGAACCGGGUUUGGGUUUAAGAGGAUCAAAAUACUUGCAAUCGCGGCUAACACGAGUUUCGGUAUUAAUAAAGUAACAUAAGCUUUGUCCCGGACGAUUAUCUUGACUAUGAUUCCGUUUGCAUAAUUCUUUUUCGGGGACGAAAAAAGGUUAAGUGUGGGGAUAUUUGAUGUGAGGUAAAAUACACAUAUUUGUCCCGUGUAAAGUGUAUUUUUUUGUAUAUUUUUAUUUGUUUUUAUUUAGUUUAAGUGUUAUUUUAAAUUAUUUUGUGUUUUGUCAGGUCUUGGUGCAAAUGGAGCGAAAACGAGUAAUAUGGAAAUGACCAACCAGUUGGGUAGAAUGGGGUGCCAGUGACCGAAGUAAAAUUGCCGUAUUUUUCUUGGUGCAUAAAGAAAAAAAAAAGGAAUAAUAGUGAGACUUGGAGGGCCGAACUGCAAUUAGAGAUAAGCUAUUUAAAAAUAGCCAACCAAAGAUGGAGGACUAAUCUUGUCAAGUGGUUUAAAGUUGAAAUUAAUUCUCAACUCAUGAGAAAAAAGAAGCAGAUCCAUGAUUCGUUGACUAUGUAUAAUAUUUGGUGACUACCUUUUAGUCUAUGCAAGCCCACUUCAACUUUUUAUGUGAUUCGCUGCCAAGGCCCAGCUUGAAACAAUUUUGGUUGACAUAAAAUUAUAUAAAGCGGCUAUUAUUCGAGAGAGAGGGGGAACGGGACGAACUUGGGACGCACGGAGUCGACAUCAGAGGGGAUUCGAAGACAAGAUCAGACGCACGAAGAACAUCAGUUUUGCAAGAAAUCAAGUUCGGGAAUCAUUGGGGUCAAGUGGAAAGCUCAGAGAUCAAGGAAUUUACGGGUUCUAUGUUACGAUUUCUUUUAUUUUCGAGUUUCUUGUAUUUACUUCAAUGAAUUCUUGUUUGAAAUCUUGUUUGAUCGUUUUUAAGAUUAUGAUUAUCGGCUAGACUUCUUUAACUACCUAGGUAAUGACAAUAGUUAAAUAAAGUUUGGAUUUUUAUUUGAUUUU